rnacentral:rRNA from 1 species
ACGGCAGCACAGUAAGAGCUUGCUCUUACGGGUGGCGAGUGGCGGACGGGUGAGGAAUACAUCGGAAUCUACUUUUUCGUGGGGGAUAACGUAGGGAAACUUACGCUAAUACCGCAUACGACCUUCGGGUGAAAGCAGGGGACCUUCGGGCCUUGCGCGAUUGAAUGAGCCGAUGUCGGAUUAGCUAGUUGGCGGGGUAAAGGCCCACCAAGGCGACGAUCCGUAGCUGGUCUGAGAGGAUGAUCAGCCACACUGGAACUGAGACACGGUCCAGACUCCUACGGGAGGCAGCAGUGGGGAAUAUUGGACAAUGGGCGCAAGCCUGAUCCAGCCAUACCGCGUGGGUGAAGAAGGCCUUCGGGUUGUAAAGCCCUUUUGUUGGAAAAGAAAUCCACUGGCUAAUGACCCGGCUUG